UACGGAGGGUGCAAGCGUUGUCCGGAUUCACUGGGCGUAAAGGGUGCGUAGGAGGUCAGGUAAGUCAGUGGUGAAAUCUCCAAGCUUAACUUGGAAACUGCCGUUGAUACUAUCUGUCUUGAAUAUUGUGGAGGUGAGCGGAAUAUGUCAUGUAGCGGUGAAAUGCUUAGAUAUGACAUAGAACACCAAUUGCGAAGGCAGCUCACUACACAAUCAUUGACUCUGAGGCACGAAAGCGUGGGGAUCAAACAGG
rnacentral:rRNA from 1 species